CUUAUGGAGAGACAGAAGAGGAUGCCGUGGUGGGAAACCAUGAAGCUUCUAUCAGGAUGUAGCCGAGAGCGUCUGAAGUAAUUCUUCAAAGAGAGUGAUCUUCGUGAUAAAGUUUCUCGAGUUGGCGAGAUCAAUCGAUAUGGGCAUUGUCAAAUUCUAUCAGGAGCUCUUCAACCUUCAUACAAAAGACAGAAAGCAACAUGAUGUACAUAUGCAGUGAAGUUAGAAAAGGAACUUGUUGCUCAAGGUAUACCAUGGCUUUGUUUGUGGAAUAGAAAGAACAAGUGAAGUUGGGUUUGUCGGACUCUUUAAAUCCAAUUCCGGACUCUUGCAGAUGGGUGUCAUCGUACUCGAAAA